CAGGAACUAGAAUGGCAGAAAGUGGUAGUGGUUGUAAUGACUUUCUAGGACUUCUAGGACAAUAUCGAGCAAUUUCGAAUAAAUUGAAGAAGCGAUUUCUUAGAAAACCAAAUGUAACUGAAGCGAGUGACCAGUUUGGGUAAACUUGCCCUUCAGUGUGAGCGUGAGGAACUACCACAGUACGCAGGGUUGUGUUGGGUGGCAGCUGCCAGGUGUGGAAGUUACUUAGGAAAUGGUUCUGGCGAAGCAUGGGACGUAGUUCGUGCGGGAAGACAAUUUUUGACAGAAAUUAGUGUGAAAGACCUAGAUUGUCCAAGUCCUGGCGGUGAACAUGUGCAGGUAAUAUGAAUAUGUUUUACAUCAGAAAUAUUUCCUGUUUACUUGAAAUAAAAGUAAGGUUAGGAUCGACUCCCUCAGGUCAGUGUUGAAUUCUGUAUGUUAUGUUAACUCAAUGAGGAAUGAAUUAGUGAUAAAUGUUGUAGUCAACCCUUGAUAUAGUGCAGGUUUCAGGGGACAGCUUAAAUACCCCAAUUAUAUGUUAAACUGCUGUUUAUCUGAUUUUGGAAUCCCUGAUAUGUAUAUUUGGCCCAUGACAAAAAUAUGUGAAAUUUAAGGUACGUUUCAGAGGUAUGUUUCACCAAUGCUGCUGGCCCAGACCAGUAGAUUACUUACAUUUAUAUCUUCUUAGAAAAGUCAUAUUAGAGUAAACAGAAUCAUACUUUUUCAUAGCAAAUUAUGGAUCUUACCCUCUGUACCCACACACUAUAGCAAGGAAUAUUGUACUCUCAUAAUAUAAUCAGAACAAUUCAUAGAAGUGUGGACGAUGUGAAAUAUGUGUAGUCAUAUUGGAGGACAUCAUCUCCACUGCAAUAUACCUGAAGGUAAAGUUAUCCCUCUGCUUAACUGAAUAAGCACUAUGGUAUUAAGGUGUAUGGGGAAGUGGA